CAUAGCCACGGGAAUACAGAGGGUGCGAGCGUUAAUCGGAUUUACUGGGCGUAAAGCGUGCGUAGGCGGCUUCUUAAGUCGGAUGUGAAAUCCCUGAGCUUAACUUAGGAAUUGCAUUCGAUACUGGGAAGCUAGAGUAUGGGAGAGGAUGGUAGAAUUCCAGGUGUAGCGGUGAAAUGCGUAGAGAUCUGGAGGAAUACCGAUGGCGAAGGCAGCCAUCUGGCCUAAUACUGACGCUGAGGUACGAAAGCAUGGGGAGCAAACAGGAUUAGAUACCCCGGUAGUCCCUGUCUCUUAUACA
rnacentral:rRNA from 1 species